rnacentral:rRNA from 1 species
UACGUAGGGUGCGAGCGUUGUCCGGAAUUAUUGGGCGUAAAGAGCUCGUAGGCGGUGUGUCGCGUCGGUCGUGAAAACUUUCAGCUUAACUGGGAGCUUGCGGUUGAUACGGGCAUCACUGGAGUUCGGCAGGGGAGACUGGAAUUCCUGGUGUAGCGGUGAAAUGCGCAGAUAUCAGGAGGAACACCGGUGGCGAAGGCGGGUCUCUGGGCCGGUACUGACGCUGAGGCACGAAAGCGUGGGGAGCAAACAGG